UACGAAGGGGGCUAGCGUUGCUCGGAAUCACUGGGCGUAAAGGGCGCGUAGGCGGCCAUUCAAGUCGGUGGUGAAAUCCUGGAGCUCAACUCCAGAACUGCCUUCGAUACUGGGAGCUCGAGUCCGGGAGAGGUGAGUGGAACUGCGAGUGUAGAGGUGAAAUUCGUAGAUAUUCGCAAGAACACCAGUGGCGAAGGCGGCUCACUGGCCCGGUACUGACGCUGAGGUGCGAAAGCGUGGGGAGCAAACAGG
rnacentral:rRNA from 1 species